AACGUAGGUUCCGAGCGUUAUCCGGAUUUACUGGGCGUAAAGCGCGUUCAGGCGGUUUGGCAAGUCGGGCAUGAAAUCUCUCGGCUCAACCGGGAGAGGUUGUCCGAUACUGCUGGACUUGAGGGCAGUAGAGGGUGGUGGAAUUCCGGGUGUAGUGGUGAAAUGCGUAGAUAUCAAGAGGAACACCAGCGGCGAAAGCGGCUCUCUGGAAGAUUCCUGACUCUGAAACACGAAAGCCAGGGGAGCAAACGGG
rnacentral:rRNA from 1 species